rnacentral:lncRNA from 10 species
AGAGGCUGCCCUCAUCAUAGCAGUGGAACAGGACCAGCUGGGACAGGGUCCUUCUGUGACACCUGCUGUGUCACCAGGCUGUGCGAAUGGACUCAGCUGCCCGAACUCACAGAAUAUCAGUAACAGCACCGAAACUUCACAGGAAAAAUGCUCCACGAACUUCAGACUUAAAAAGCAUCACUGGCUCCUGACCAGGAUUCCAGCUCCAUGAACCUCAAACUAGAACACCAGCCCGGCUUCUCUGCAGGUCUCCAGCUCCAAAACCUAAGACAUCAGUGGCAGUACAAACUCAUCCCAGGGGCUCCAGCUCCAGGACCCUCAGACUUGAACCGCAGCACCAACUCUUCCCUGGAUCUCCAUCUCCAUGACCCUCAGACUUAAACAGCAGCAGCACCAGUUCAUCUGUGAAUCUCCAGCUCCACAACCCUCCAACUAGAAACACACCAGCUCCUCCCUGGGUCUCCAGCUGCACGACCCUCAAACUACAACAUCAGCUC